ACUCCUACGGGAGGCAGCAGUGGGGAAUAUUGCACAAUGGGGGAAACCCUGAUGCAGCCAUGCCGCGUGUGUGAAGAAGGCCUUCGGGUUGUAAAGCACUUUCAGUAGGGAGGAAGGUAGUGUAGUUAACACCUGCAUAUUUGACGUUACCUACAGAAGAAGCACCGGCUAACUCCGUGCCAGCAGCCGCGGUAAUACGGAGGGUGCGAGCGUUAAUCGGAAUUACUGGGCGUAAAGCGCAUGCAGGCGGCCUGUUAAGUCAGAUGUGAAAGCCCGGGGCUUAACCUCGGAAUUGCAUUUGAAACUGGCAGGCUAGAGUCUUGUAGAGGGGGGUAGAAUUUCAGGUGUAGCGGUGAAAUGCGUAGAGAUCUGAAGGAAUACCAGUGGCGAAGGCGGCCCCCUGGACAAAGACUGACGCUCAGAUGCGAAAGCGUGGGGAGCAAACAGGAUUAGAUACCCUGGUAGGAUAGCG
rnacentral:rRNA from 1 species